rnacentral:rRNA from 1 species
GCUCUGUGGGAUCAGUGGCGAACGGGUGAGUAACACGUGAGCAACCUACCCCUGACUCUGGGAUAAGCGCUGGAAACGGCGUCUAAUACUGGAUACGAGUGGCGACCGCAUGGUCAGCUACUGGAAAGAUUUAUUGGUUGGGGAUGGGCUCGCGGCCUAUCAGCUUGUUGGUGAGGUAAUGGCUCACCAAGGCGUCGACGGGUAGCCGGCCUGAGAGGGUGACCGGCCACACUGGGACUGAGACACGGCCCAGACUCCUACGGGAGGCAGCAGUGGGGAAUAUUGCACAAUGGGCGCAAGCCUGAUGCAGCAACGCCGCGUGAGGGAUGACGGCCUUCGGGUUGUAAACCUCUUUUAGCAGGGAAGAAGCGAAAGUGACGGUACCUGCAGAAAAAGCGCCGGCUAACUACGUGCCAGCAGCCGCGGUAAUACGUAGGGCGCAAGCGUUAUCCGGAAUUAUUGGGCGUAAAGAGCUCGUAGGCGGUUUGUCGCGUCUGCUGUGAAAUCCGGAGGCUCAACCUCCGGCCUGCAGUGGGUACGGGCAGACUAGAGUGCGGUAGGGGAGAUUGGAAUUCCUGGUGUAGCGGUGGAAUGCGCAGAUAUCAGGAGGAACACCGAUGGCGAAGGCAGAUCUCUGGGCCGUAACUGACGCUGAGGAGCGAAAGGGUGGGGAGCAA